rnacentral:rRNA from 1 species
UUUCCCUACGGGACGCAGCAGUGGGGAAUAUUGCACAAUGGGCGAAAGCCUGAUGCAGCAACGCCGCGUGAAGGAAGACGGUUUUCGGAUUGUAAACUUCUGUUCUUAGUGAAGGAUAAUGACGGUAACUAAGGAGCAAGCCACGGCUAACUACGUGCCAGCAGCCGCGGUAAUACGUAGGUGGCGAGCGUUAUCCGGAAUGAUUGGGCGUAAAGGGUGCGUAGGCGGCCUGCUAAGUCUGGAGUGAAAGGUACCGGCUCAACCGGUACAGGCUCUGGAAACUGGCGGGCUAGAGAGCAGGAGAG